UGCAAGUCGAGCGGAUGACGAGAGCUUGCUCUCUGAUUUUAGCGGCGGACGGGUGAGUAACACGUGGGCAACCUGCCCUACAGAUGGGGAUAACUCCGGGAAACCGGGGCUAAUACCGAAUAAUCAGUUUGUCCGCAUGGACAAACUCUGAAAGACGGUUUCGGCUGUCACUGUAGGAUGGGCCCGCGGCGCAUUAGCUAGUUGGUGGGGUAAUGGCCUACCAAGGCAACGAUGCGUAGCCGACCUGAGAGGGUGAUCGGCCACACUGGGACUGAGACACGGCCCAGACUCCUACGGGAGGCAGCAGUAGGGAAUCUUCCACAAUGGACGAAAGUCUGAUGGAGCAAUGCCGCGUGAGCGAAGAAGGUUUUCGGAUCGUAAAGCUCUGUUGUAAGGGAAGAACACGUACGGGAGUAACUGCCCGUGCCAUGACGGUACCUUAUUAGAAAGCCACGGCUAACUACGUGCCAGCAGCCGCGGUAAUACGUAGGUGGCAAGCGUUGUCCGGAAUUAUUGGGCGUAAAGCGCGCGCAGGCGGUUCUUUAAGUCUGAUGUGAAAGCCCACGGCUCAACCGUGGAGGGUCAUUGGAAACUGGAGAACUUGAGUACAGAAGAGGAAAGCGGAAUUCCACGUGUAGCGGUGAAAUGCGUAGAGAUGUGGAGGAACA
rnacentral:rRNA from 1 species